rnacentral:ncRNA from 2 species
AACUAAAAAAGAAUUUCAGGUGGCCUGCAACCUUCGGUUUGCAGGCUUAAACGGGAAGUCGGUGCGCACGGGUUAUUCAACAACCCAUGCCAUUCCGACGCUGCCCUCGCAACGGUAAACGAGUCAAAGCCAGAUCCAUCACCACUGUGCCAACGCAUGGGAAGGGGGUCCGGCAAACAAGCUUUGUGCUUGUUCACUCGUGAGCCCGGAGACCGGCCUGAUUUUUUGCGCGUGA